UACGUAGGGGGCUAGCGUUGUCCGGAAUCAUUGGGCGUAAAGCGCGCGUAGGCGGCCCGGUAAGUCCGCUGUGAAAGUCCAGGGCUCAACCCUGGAAAGCCGGUGGAUACUGCCGGGCUAGAGUCCGGGAGAGGCGAGUGGAAUUCCUGGUGUAGCGGUGGAAUGCGCAGAUAUCAGGAGGAACACCUAAGGCGAAGGCAGCUCGCUGGGACGUUACUGACGCUGAGACGCGAAAGCGUGGGAGC
rnacentral:rRNA from 1 species